rnacentral:lncRNA from 1 species
CCAUUCUUUUUCUUUUUUUAUUAAAAAAAAAAUCACCCAUCAGCAUAUAAUAAAUUAAUAAUAACCUCUUCAUUUUAAAUUUCUAUUAUUUCUCAUUUCUUUUUUUUCCUAUUGGAUCUAUUCACAUUUCUCUGGGCAUGGCGAUUGAUACUUGUGGUCCCAAGUUUGAAAUUUAAUUGUUGCAUAUUUUUAACAAAUUUUUUUUAUAAAAGAAUUAAACGAAACGAAUAUAUGUUACUUUUGUCUAAAAAGAUAUUUUUGUAAAGAAAGAAUGUGAAGAGAAUAAA